rnacentral:rRNA from 1 species
GAUGAACGCUGGCGGCGUGCCUAAUACAUGCAAGUCGAGCGAACAGACGAGGAGCUUGCUCCUCUGACGUUAGCGGCGGACGGGGGAGUAACACGUGGAUAACCUACCUAUAAAACUGGGAUAACUUCGGGAAACCGGAGCUAAUACCGGAUAAUAUAUUGAACCGCAUGGUUCAAUAGUGAAAGACGGUUUUGCUGUCACUUAUAGAUGGAUCCGCGCCGCAUUAGCUAGUUGGUAAGGUAACGGCUUACCAAGGCAACGAUGCGUAGCCGACCUGAGAGGGUGAUCGGCCACACUGGAACUGAGACACGGUCCAGACUCCUACGGGAGGCAGCAGUAGGGAAUCUUCCGCAAUGGGCGAAAGCUUGACGGAGCAACGCCGCGUGAGUGAUGAAGGUCUUCGGAUCGUAAAACUCUGUUAUUAGGGAAGAACAAAUGUGUAAGUAACUAUGCACGUCUUGACGGUACCUAAUCAGAAAGCCACGGCUAACUACGUG